rnacentral:lncRNA from 1 species
GUGACAACGGCAAGCUGGCUGCAACGAAGCCGCCCACGUAGGCCUCCCCGGCCUGCUGGAGGAGAGGGGAUCCCCCGGGGCAGAGGCGGCUACACCCGGAGAACCCGGAAACCGGAAGCGCAGAUCCUGCCGGCUCUGGACUAGCCGCUCAGCACCAGGGCGGAAGGAAGACGAGGCGAGGCAAGCGCCAAGCUUCCAUCCGGACUUCAAGGCCAGUGGCUGGGUCUGGUUUUCUCAACACGGCCUCCUAGUCUCCUUCCCGCUUGGGCAUCUGUUUUUCUUAUAUAGACCCUGAAGCCGCCCGUGAUGUUCUGUAAGCAGGUUCCGCUUCAGAAUCAGAGGUACUUAAGAGGGAACCUGGAUGCUAGACCUGCCCUUGCUGCUGGCCUCAGUUUCUUUACCUGUAAAACAGGGAUUUUGGAACUGUUAAAUUAAAUCAAACUUAAAAGAAUUACAACUUAAAGCUGCUGGAACUUUACAUGAUCCCGAGCCUUGAGAGGAAUGUGGCUAUGCAGCCUGAGUCAUGUGGCAUGCAGAUGCAACCUCUGCCUUUUUCCGCUGUAAAUAAUUAAGAAGACCAAGUAGCAUCCAAGAGUCACCUAAGCUGAAGAUUCCCUUGAGAACAAGUACUGUCCUGUGGUUUCAUGGCCUUUCUUCCAUUUGUGGUUCUUGCCAAGCGGAAUUUAAAUGACAUCUUAUCAAGAUGGAUAAACCCUAGUUUCCCAGUGCUGGAAUAUAGAAAAUGGAUGGACAAGUAAAUCCCACUCAGCACCCAUAGCCCAGGCAUGGGGACCUCAACACAUUUGAGCCGCAGAGAUCACCUUUCAUUGUGAAUAGCUCUGAGAUGAUACUUCUGGUUGAAUGUCUUUUUGUCACUUCCGGCUGGAUCUACCAUGAAAGAUUUCUGAAUCCAGGAAGAGAGAUUGACUGGGCAACAUGUUAUUCAGAAACAGGACCUUGCCCUGUCACUCAGGAUGGAGUUCAGUGGUCCAAUCAUGGCUCAUUGUAGCCUCAAACUCCCAGGCUCAAGCAAUCCUACCACGUCAGUCUUCCCAGUAGCUGACAGGGUCUCACUCUGUCGCCCAGGCUGGAGUGCAGUGGCAUGAUCUUGGCUCACUGUAGUGUAGACUUCCCAGCCUCAAGGGAUCCUCCCACCCCAGACUCCCAAGUAGCUGGAAUUACAGGUCUCAUGCUCUCACUCAGGCUGCAGUACAGUGGCACAACCUCUACUCACUGCAGCCUCUACCUGCCAGGCUCAAGCAAUUCUCCUGACUUAGCCUCCCGAGUAGCUGGGAUUACAGUUGAAGCAUAUGUCCUGUGAGCUUAGGGGUGCUACAAGUUGACCACUGCAGCAGUAAAGAUGAUUCUGAAGAAUGGCAUGGGAUGGAUCCUUUCGAAUGCACUUGAGCAGCGGUCUCCAACCACAGGGCCACAGAGCUGGAGCUGGAUCUACCAUGAAAGACUUCUGAAUCCAGGAAGAGAGACUGACUGGGCAACAUGUUAUUCAGGAGAUGGGGUCUCACCCUGUCGCCCAGGCUUGAGUACAGUAGUGCUAUCACAGCUCACUGCAGCCUUGAACUCCUGGGCUAAGGAUCCUCCUACCUGAGCCUCCUGAGUAGCUGGGACUGUAGGGUCUCCCUCUGUUGUCCAAGGCUGGAGUGUAGUAGUGCUAUCACAGCUGACUGCAGCCUCAACCUUCCAGGCUGAAGCGAUCCUCCCAUCUCAACCUCCCACGUGGCUGAGACUACAGGCGCUUGCCACUAUGCCCAACUAAUAUUUGGAAUUUUCCUAUACGUGGAUUCCAGAGGGGUGACAGCGAAACGUGGGACCAUCCAGUUGCAGGAAAACGAGCUUAACACGCCCACUGAUUCUACAUUAUGCUCCUACCUCCCGGCAGCCUCUCCAGGCCCAGAACUUUCUCCAGUCGGCCUCCACAGACCAAGCUCAUGACUCACAAUGGCCUAUUUAGGCCCAUACCCUACCUCACGGCAGUCUCCGCAGAUGAGGCUACUGCCUCACAACAGCCUCCACAGGCACAGCUCCAUCGUUACAAUGGCCUCUUUAGACCCAGCUCCUGCCUCCCAGCCUUCUCUCUAGGCCCUGAACUUUCUCAAGUCGACGUCACCAGGCCCAGCUCAUGCUUCUUGGCAGCCUCUCCAGGCCCAGCUCUUCCUCCCGGCGGCCUCUGCAGGCCCAGACUGUCAUCAAGUCGGCCUGUCCAGGGCCAGCUCCUGCCUCCCGGCGCCCUCUGCAGGCCCAAGUCGUCCUCAAGUUGGCCUCCCCAGGCCCAGCUCCAGCCUCUCGGCGGCCUCUCCGGGUGCAAAAGUUCCUCGAGUCAGCCUCUCCAGGCCCAGCUCCUCCUGCCUCCCAGUGCCUCUUUCGGCCCAGCCCAGCUCAUGCCUCUGGGCGGCCUUCCCAGGCCCCGCUUUUGACUUUUGGCGGCCUCUGCAGGCCUCGACAAGGCCCGGCCUCCUGCCUCCCGAAGCCUGCACAGGCCCAGCCUCUGCCUCACAGCAGACUCUCCACGCCCAGCUAGCUCUCGCCUCACUGCGGCCUCCCCAGUCCAAAGCUCCUGCCUCUCGGCCGCUUCGGCAGGCCCAGCUCCCGCCUGCCAGUGCCUCUUCAGGCCCAUGGGGCUCAUUCCUCACAACGGCCUUUCCAGGCCCCGUUUUUCCCUUCCGGCGGCCUCUCCGGGCCCAGAACCUCCUCAAGUUGGCCUCUCCAGACCCACUUGCACCCUCCGGGCGUCCUCUCCAGGCCCAGCUCUUCCUCCCGGCUGCGUCUCCAGGCCCGACUCCUGCCUCCCAACAACCUCUUUGGACUCAGUGCCUGCCCAUCUCCUGGCGGCCUUGGUCGGCCCACAGCUUCCUCAAGCCAAGCUCCCCAGGCCCAGGUCAGGCCUCACGGUGGCCUCUCCAGGAUCAGCUCCUGCCCUCCGAUGGUGUCUCCAGGCCCCAAAUGGUCUCCGGCCAGUGGGCUCCUCCACGCCCAGCUUGGGCCUCCCGGCGACCUCUGCAGGCCCAAGUCGUCCUGAAGUCGGCCUCUCCCGGCCCUGCCUCCCAGCAAGUAAGCAAGCUUUUUUGGCUUAGCUCCUGCCCAGCUCCCAACCGCCUUUGUAGGCCCCGAACUUUCUCCAGCCAAGCUCUUCGGGCCCACCUCCUGCCUCCCGGUGGCCUGUACAGGCCCAGCUCUGGCUGGAGAACAGCCUCUGCAGGCCCCGCUCUUGCCUCCCAGGGGCCUCUCCAGGCCCAGCUCUCGCCCCCACAGCGGCCUCCCGGGGCCAAGUCCCUGCCCCCUGCCUCAACAGGCCACCGUGAGGGAGGAGCAGGGCCGCACGCGGGCUGCCGGAAGGCGGACAGGGACUUGGCCCCGGGAGGCCGCGGUGGGGCAAGAGCUUGGCCUGGAGACGCCCCUGGGAGGCAACAGCAGGGCCUGCAGACGCUCUUCUCCAGCCAGAGCUGGGACUGUACAGGCCACUGGGAGGCAGGAUGUGGGCCUGAAGAGCUUGGCUGCAGAAACUUUGGGGUCUACAAACGCCGGCGAGAGCUGAGCCGAAAGAGCUUGCUUGCUGGGAGGCAGGAGCUGGGCCGGGAGAUGCAGCCAGGAGGAACAGCUGGGCCUGCAGAGGCCGCCAUGCGGGAGGCAGAGGCUGGGCCUCCUCAAGUUGGCCUCUCCAGACCCACUUGCAGCCUCCCGGCGUCCUCUCCGGGCCCAGCUCUUCCUCCCGGCUGCGUCUCCAGGCCCAACUCCGGCCUCCCAACAAGGUCUUUGGACUCAGCUCCCCCGCAGCUUCCAGCGGCCCUGGUAGGCCCACAACUUCCUGAAGCCAAGCUCCCCAGGCCCAGCUCAGGCCUCACGGUGGCCUCUCCAGGCUCAGCUCCUGCCCUCCGACAGCGUCUCCAGGCCCCAAACGGCCUCCGGUCGGUGGGCUCCUCUAGGCCCAGCUUGGGCCUCCCGGCAGCCUCUGCAGGCCCAAAUCGUCCUGAAGUCGGCCUCUCCAGGCCCAGCUCCAGCCUCCCGGCGGCCUCUGCAGGCCUAAGUCGUCCUCAAGUCGGCCUGGAAAUGGGCCUGGAAGAGCUGCAAGUCGGCCUCCCCGGGCCCAGCUCCGUCCUCUCGGCGGCCUCUCCAGGUGCAAAACUUCCUCGAGUCAGCCUCUCCAGGCCCAGCUCCUCCUGCCUCAGUGGCCUCUUUCGGCCCAGCCCAGCUCAUGGCUCUCGGCGGUCUUCCCAGGCCCCGCUUUUGACUUUUGGUGGCCUCUUCAGGCCCAGAACUUGACCUCCAGUCGGCCUUUGCAGGCCCGGCCUCCUGCCUCUCGAAGGUCUGCAUGGGCCCGGCCUCGGCCUCACAGCGGACUCUCCACGCCCAGCUAGCUCUCGCCUCACUGCACCCUCCCCAGUCCAAAGCUCCUGCCUUUCGGCCACUUCGGCAGGCCCAGCUCCUGCCUGCCAGUGGCCUCUUUAGGCCCAGCUCAUUCCUCACAACGGCCUUUCCAGGCCCCGUUUUUCCCUUCCGGCAGCCUCUUGGCCUCUAAUUUUUUUAUCUUUUGUGUAUAAAUCCCAAAUUAUGGAAUUUUGGAAUAUUUCCACCAUUAUAUAAAUAUUUUGGUAGGUAAUUUAUUUGGAGUGAGUUUCUGCACCAAGCCCGAAUUUUUUAUUUUAUUUUCCUUAUUAUUUGGUGUUAAACAGGUUUAAUGACGGUCAUGGCAACUUUUUGGCACAAUGAAAAAUAUCGCCCAUGAUCAACGUGUUCUGUUCUGGGGAAGGGGGCAAAGGCAGGGUGAAUCACUUUCUUAAAAAGUACAGCUUAAGUUGGGAGUGCAGAGGGAAUGGGGAGAAAACCCUCCCACUGCCUGUGUCGAAGUGCAGGAGCCCCCACCCCCAUACUCACCUGAGUCCAGCCCCUCU